rnacentral:rRNA from 1 species
UACGUAGGGUGCAAGCGUUGUCCGGAAUUAUUGGGCGUAAAGAGCUCGUAGGCGGUUUGUCGCGUCUGCUGUGAAAACCUAAGGCUCAACCUUGGGCUUGCAGUGGGUACGGGCAGACUAGAGUGCGGUAGGGGAGACUGGAAUUCCUGGUGUAGCGGUGAAAUGCGCAGAUAUCAGGAGGAACACCGAUGGCGAAGGCAGGUCUCUGGGCCACUACUGACGCUGAGAAGCGAAAGCAUGGGGAGCGAACAGG